rnacentral:rRNA from 1 species
CCUUUAAGUGAACUGCAUACUCAGAAUUUUUCUGCGUAUGAUUCAGCCUUGCGACCGUACUCCCCAGGCGGCGAGCUUAACGGCUUCCCUGCGACACUUCGAUCGCGAACUGCGAUCGAAUCAUCUAGCUCGCAUCGUUUACGGCUGGGACUACCCGGGUAUCUAAUCCGGUUCGCUCCCCCAGCUUUCACCCCUCACCGUCGAGCGCGUUCUGGCGGACCGCCUUCGCCACUGGUGGUCUUCCGCGGAUCAAAGGAUUUUACCCCUACACGCGGAGUACCGUCCGCCUCUCCCGCCUCCUAGUCUCGCAGUAUCUCCUGCAGGCCAGCCGUUGAGCAGCUGGAUUUAACAGAAGACUUACGAAACCGGCUACGGGUGCUUUAGGCCCAAUAAUCGUCCCGACCACUCGAGGAGCUGGUAUUACCGCGGCGGCUGACAC